rnacentral:miRNA from 1 species
AGCUUCACUUUAUUUUGCCAA